rnacentral:sRNA from 1 species
GGGUAGAGGCUCGCAGAUGGACCUGGUAGUCGGCUGGAGAGCAGCAUGGAGGCGUCCUGGAGGAGCUUCAACGCUGAACGGGGCUGGUAUGUCUCUGUCCAGCAGCCUGAAGAAGCGGAGGCCGAAGAGUUGAGUCCGUUGCUAAGCAACGAACUUCACAGACAGCGAUCCCCAGGAGUUUCAUUUGGUUUAUCAGUGUUUAAUUUGAUGAAUGCCAUCAUGGGAAGUGGCAUCCUUGGCUUAGCUUAUGUUAUGGCUAAUACCGGUGUCUUUGGAUUUAGCUUCUUGCUGCUGACAGUUGCUCUCCUGGCUUCUUACUCAGUCCAUCUUCUGCUUAGUAUGUGUAUUCAGACAGAUUUUUGGAAGGAAAGCUUUCUUAAGAAAGAACGC